AAGACUAUAGACCUGCGGAGUACCUGCGGAAGGAUCAUUACAUGGCGGAGAAGGUGGGCAACCUGGCCAACAUCCAGGUUGUGAUGCCUUCACGCUCUUCCACCCUUGUCUAUUUGCACCUUCUGUCGUUCCCUCGGCGGGUUUCGACCCGCCGGCGGCAACAUUGAAAAACCCUUUUUGCAGUUAGCAUUCAAUUCUUCUGAUCAAAAUAUCAAAUCGUUACAACUUUUAGCAACGGAU
rnacentral:misc_RNA from 1 species